rnacentral:lncRNA from 1 species
CUGCUCUUCUCUGAGACUCUACUACCUGCUGAGAGACCCUUGAGACAUUCCGGAGACACAUCCUAUUAUGCACAUCGCCUACUGGCUGGCUCCAGGCACCAAGAAUGGAUUGGCAGGGGAUGGGCCUCCCCUCUUUAUAAGCACAGACUCUUAGUAAACUUUGGGGCCUUGAUCAGAGAAAAAUUUGUCUUGGCCUCAUUCUUUUCUCGCCAUCUAGUUUCUUUCAGCCCCAGCCUGCCUUUCAGGAGUACCUGGUUCAUGUAAGCCACGGGUGGCUUACAGUUACACAAGGGCUGUA